UACAGAGGCCUCGAGCGUUAGGCGGAAUCACUGGGCUUAAAGCGUGUGUAGGUGGAUGCCUAAGUACCUUGUGAAAUCCCACGGCUUAACCGUGGAACUGCUGGGUAUACUGGGCGUCUUGAGCCACUCAGGGGCUACCGGAACAAGCGGUGGAGCGGUGAAAUGCGUAGAUAUCGCUUGGAACGGCCAAUGGUGAAAACAGGUAGCUGGGGGGUGUGCUGACACUGAGACACGAAAGCCAGGGGAGCAAACGGGG
rnacentral:rRNA from 1 species